rnacentral:rRNA from 1 species
UGGGGAAUAUUGGACAAUGGGCGAAAGCCUGAUCCAGCGAUGCCGCGUGUGUGAAGAAGGCCUGAGGGUUGUAACCUCACUUUAGUUGGGGAAGAAAGGCCAGAGUUUAAAAGAUACUUGCUGAGACAUUAACCAAAGAAUAAGCACCGGCUAACUCCGUGCCAGCAGCCGCGGUAAAUA